rnacentral:sRNA from 1 species
UUGAAUAGUUGGAAACUGAAGAUUUAUCCACCAAAGAGACAGAGUAAAAGUAACAGCUGUGAAAGGAUUCCAAACAGAAUACCCCUAACCAAAGUGCCUCAAACCUAUAUCAAAGUGACCACCUCUAAGAGUGAGAAGGUAGAUCAAUUUACAUGCCCAUUCAAUCCUCGGUCUGU